AGCUUGAGGCCAGUUAAUUACCUGUUCACACGCCAGGGCGACUUUUGACACUUCAUUCAAUGACCUGGACGUCCAAUACCCCGACGAAUUAACCGAUGUAAUUAUAUCAAUCAUACCAAUAUUAAUUGAUGGCUUAAUUGAUCAGGCCACGAACCGCGUGUUUGUGUUUUGACAGCGGUCGAUCUGUGUCGAAUAAAGGCUUCAAUGGCUUCGACAAUUAAAGUCAAACGCAUAUAUGACCCCGAUUACUUUAUAACACACGUGACAUGGAUGUUGCGUUUGUGAAGAAAUGAGGAGUUUGCAAAACGAAAGUAACAUGAACUGUAGAACAAAAAGACCGAUGAUUAUAAUUUCAUUCUGUAAUCAUGAAGCGACAACUAAAGCAGCAGUCUAUUGAAUCAUUUUUUCGAGAAUUCGCCGAAACGACAGAAGGCUUAGCCCGGUCUGUUCACCGACAAAGUCAAAACACAGAUCGUCAUUUUUACCGACUGAAUGAAGAAAUAUUUAUGGCUAAAGUACCACGAAGAUGAAGGCAUGUUUUGUAAACAGGACAGCAGACCUAUGGACACAGAUCAGAAAAAGAAAUAUCACCAUCACCACAUUGUUUGAUCCUGAGGACAAUGAAGUGUGAAGUUGGGCUGUAA